rnacentral:rRNA from 1 species
GAUGAACGCUGGCGGCGUGCCUAAUACAUGCAAGUCGAGCGAACAGACGAGGAGCUUGCUCCUCUGACGUUAGCGGCGGACGGGUGAGUAACACGUGGAUAGCCUACCUAUAAGACUGGGAUAACUUCGGGAAACCGGAGCUAAUACCGGAUAAUAUAUUGAACCGCAUGGUUCAAUAGUGAAAGACGGUUUUGCUGUCACUUAUAGAUGGAUCCGCGCCGCAUUAGCUAGUUGGUAAGGUAACGGCUUACCAAGGCAACGAUGCGUAGCCGACCUGAGAGGGUGAUCGGCCACACUGGAACUGAGACACGGUCCAGACUCUUACGGGAGGCAGCAGUAGGGAAUCUUCCGCAAUGGGCGAAAGCCUGACGGAGCAACGCCGCGUGAGUGAUGAAGGUCUUCGGAUCGUAAAACUCUGUUAUUAGGGAAGAACAAAUGUGUAAGUAACUAUGCACGUCUUGACGGUACCUAAUCAGAAAGCCACGGCUAACUACGUG